rnacentral:rRNA from 1 species
GACCAGCCAUGCCGCGGUGCAGCGAUGACGGCCCUAGGGGUUNGUAAACUCCUUUUGUAUGGAAAAAAACCCCUGAUCGUGAUCAGGGCUGACGGGUACUGUUCGAAUCAGCAUCGGCUAACUCCAUUGCCAGCAGCCGCGGUAAUAAAAUAA